AUGCUCCUAGUACCUCCAUCUAUGGUUAUGAACAUAAUAUGUACACCAAUUCUAAUUUAUCAUGAGCUGAAUUUCAGAUUUGAGAAUUUUAUGGAAAUGGUUUGGGAGGUGCAGGUGUUGUGGUCCGUAAUGACAGAGGAGAGGCGAUUGCAGGCGCGUGGCUUUGAUGAAUACAUGAAUCUGGUCUUGGAGGAUGCUGAGGAGAUCAACACCAAGAAAAACACUAGGAAGUCUCUCGGUCGGAUCCUCUUGAAAGGAGAUAACAUUACACUAAUGAUGAACACGGGAAAGUAA
rnacentral:rRNA from 1 species